ACUUUUUGGAAGAAAAGUGUUCUCAAAGUUUUCUUAUUAUAACUUGUACAGAAACCAGCUAUCUUUUUCCAGCACGGCGACUGUAACCCAGUCAAUUGAUCACAAUGAAGUUGCAACAUUCCUCUGGUUGUAAUGCAUAUAUGUUGGGUAGGCAUUUAAUAUCUAUGGUUCAUUUUAGGCCUAAUUGUGUGAAGUUAAGUUUUUUUUUGCUGUGUGUUUAUUUGAUAUCUGGAGGAAAUCCGAUUGGUUAAAACUUCUUCUGAUGAAGUUUGGAUUCCAUCAAUUACCAGUUAUAGCAUGAUAAAAAUUAGGUUCAAGAGACGCAUUUUGAAAGUUGUUUGGGUUCCCCCGGAGCAUGGAGAUGCAGUUGUUUGCAUUAGUGCUGAUGGAAUGUUGUCUAUGUGGGAAAAUGUCACAUAAGGUAUUUAAUCAAUUUGCCAUUUUGUCAGGGCCGGCCCUGAGAAUUUGGAGGCUCUAGGCAAUUAAUUUUUUUGGGGCCCCUAUAUAUAUACACACUUAAAUAUUUAACCAAAUAAUAUUUCUAUAUUAAAAUGAAGAUUUCAUGCAAUUAAAGAGAUAGAAUAGCAAAAUAAAUCCUCUCUCGCAACUUUAGAGAUUAGACUAGUAGAAUAUUUAAUAUUCUCACAUUUUGAGAUGCAAAAGGAAUUGGUACACACAUUUGAGUUAUCAAAUGUUCAUUGAGGAAUUAAAUAUAAGAAUGCAAACGUAAAAUUCACACAUUAAAUUAAAUAUUUCUUACCAACAUAGAGAUUAUAUAAUAAUUUUUAUCUCUUCUUAUUUUGUGUACUGUGAAGUAAUAUUAUAGAUGUAAUUUAGUGGCUGAAAGG
rnacentral:lncRNA from 1 species